GCUCCAGGUACCAGGUGCAAGAAAAUGAGACCUUUAACUUUUCAAAAACUGCAAAAGCGCUACUUCCACUCCGAACCGAGCGAAUCUGACUUCCUACAUAUUUGAUCUUAGCCAAAAGGCCAAGAAGCAAUAGAGUGCCUCAGUUUCCUUAGCUGAAAAAAAUGGCCCUGUUUAAACCCGAAAUUCUCGAGGUCAGGGAAGUCUUCAGCCUGGGUGCUAAACCUCAGCUUUCUGCUUCUGAGAAGAGAGGCCAAGCCAGCUUUAGAUGAAGAAUGGAGAGAGCAAACAUUUUUUUGCUGAGAGCUGUGCAAGGUAGCUACAGGAGCUGAGUGUCCAAGAUUUCGAAAGCCAAGUCAGAGCCUCGCUGACCUUAAUAACCACCCAGCCCAGCACUUUCCACAAAUGUUCUGAAAUUCAUCUAUGACAAUAACACUAAAGGGAUACAUUGUAGUUCACAAGGGCUCACUCCCUCCUAACGCCUCCCUGCGGAAUCGCAUUCUCUAACAGUUCUUGGCCUUUUGGCAGGAAACCCAGCCCCACAUGCCCCGCCCUACCAAGUCCUUGCUCCUACCCUCCUUGUGGCGCAGGCGCAAUGUGGAACCGGCCUUUCGUACCAGCGCUGACAAAUCCGCUGCGGCUCUGGCCGCCAGGGGGCGCGCGUCCAACCUCUCCAGGAGCUGCCGAGCUCGGGGUCCCCCAGACCCAGGUAGGCCAUCUCCUGCUCGGGAGAAGACAAGUCAUCAUGGACCCAGAGUCGUGGCGCCCCAACCUGGGUAAUUCUUACUUUCAAACACCUAGAAAUGUCCCUCCAGAUACAUGGAGAUCCCAGACCAAUCAAUAUAGUUCCAAAGGUCGCCGACAGUCCCCUCCUCUCCUGGGACCCCCGGCUGCUGCCGUUGUAUGCAAUGCCGGCUGCCUUGCCCCAUAAAUUCCCCAGAGGCAGCCAUUUGACAACAAUAGACCUGGACACCUCUGAGCGCCCAACAGAUUUUUUUUAGCUCACCACACUAUCCCUAGUAACACUAGAUGCCAAACUUCUUUCUCCGUGUCUUUGGGGACCCUGCUUCUCCCACACAAACCCCUCCCCGUGAGCAACCCUGAAGCCCUCAAUUCCACCUACAGUAUACUGGUAAUUCCUCCUACACCCAAGAGUUCCCUUAAAGGCCCAGUGUCCCCUCGGGGUGCAAGCUUCUCCAGAUACCCCCUCCACAUAUCCCCAGCCCGCCCUCCUAAUUCUCUACAGGUUGCCUGCCCUGGCUCAGCAGAUGCCUCCAGCUUCUUCCUCAAGAGCUAGGUCUCCGGAGUCUGAUGUGUCCCUCCACCUACCCCCCCCUCACUCUAGAGUCUGUAGGGUAGGGGACCUGAAACAGUUUCCAUCGCUGGGCCCCUGGUUGCUGCCAGGACAGCCUGGGCACCAAGGCUGAUGUUUACCACUUGUGGGGUGAAAUGGUUAAGGGCCCCAGGCAAGAAGAGAGUGACCUAGGACGAUCCUUCCUUUUCUCUCUUCUCCACCCAAGCCAGUACCUCCUCUGCUCCCUCUAGGGUCUGCGGUGUUCCCAGCUCCGGAGUCCAUGGCCUGUGGUGCACCUGGUGGACUCAGGGCAGCCGGGUGACUAGUUUUUAGCACAGGGGCGCGCUCAGCUGGCUCCUAGCCCAGGCCUGGACGCGGCUGUUGUCUGGCCAGUCCCAGGCCUGGCGCCGGGACCCGCGAGGUGACCUACCUGGCCGCAGGCAAGGAGGCCUGCUUGUGGGAGCCUGUCAAGUCAGAAAUUUGCCUUGCUCUGCCCCAGGCGCUUCUGCUUUUCUUACCUGGGGACUGGUUAAAACGGAAAAGCCUGAGUCUAACAACUGUUAAACAAGAUAUGCAGGAAAUGGAAUGUAGACUACAGCAAAACAGCAUGUGAGUAUCUUUUAAAUUAAACAAUCAGAAAGAAAACUAAACACACGCAUGUGAUCCACCUAUUCCACUCCUGAGUACUUCUCUAAAAGGGUAUACACUUUCCAAAGAGACUUGAGUGUGAGUGUUUAUGAAGCCUUCAUUUCUUGUCACCUUCUCCUUGGGCAGUCAUAGCAAAAUAGUAGAGUGGGUGACCGAAAUGACACAAAUUUAUUUCCUCUUGUUCUGGAAUAAAAUAUCAAGGAGCUGG